CGACGAGUGGCGAACGGGUGAGUAACACGUGAGUAACCUGCCCCCGACCUUGGAAUAAGCGCUCGAAAGGGCGUCUAAUACCGAAUAGUUCCUCAGUGGGCAUCCACUGAGGCGAAAAGCUCCGGCGGUUGGGGAUGGACUCGCGUCCUAUCAGCUUGUUGGUGAGGUAACGGCUCACCAAGGCUUCGACGGGUAGCCGGCCUGAGAGGGUGUACGGCCACAUUGGGACUGAGAUACGGCCCAG
rnacentral:rRNA from 1 species